CUUACUCACACACAGUCGUGUUUUCCAUUGACUUCCAUUCAUUUCUACAGCCUAACCACCUUAGCCCUGACCUCUAACCCUAAAGCACUGGUCCCUACAACCCACACUGUAGACAGAGAUGUUCCCACCAGGAUAUAAAGACCUGGUUCACACACACAGUGUGUUUAGUGUAGAAGCUGAGCUCUGAUUUGCUCGUUGUCCUUAGUCACAAAGGAUUAUUAUGGUUAUUAUGGGAUGUUUGUGAAAUUUGUCUACAUUUGCAGACUCAUUUGUUUCCAUGGUAACCAUGUUUAACUGUAAUCAUGAAGUCAGUAUGUUAUGCUGGCGUUAUUGUGGUUCCAAUUGGGACUUUACUGCCCCCACUGGACACUUGGAGAAGUUUCUGUCUAAACUUAAAACUUUAUUUUCCAUCUAAAGUUUAACAUUGACUUAAACUCAGGUGAAAUCUACUGAUUGAGUCAUGUGACUAGUGAGGGAUUUUGGGUAAUGAAGGCGCCAGCAGAACAAUACACAUUUCUAGUGCAGAAAACUGUAACAGACGCCGACAUCGGAAGUAGAGACAGAGGAACGCUGACUGGCUCAGGAUCGCUCCAGGUUUUAUGUUAGAGGAAACAGGAAGAAGAUUUGAUGAUCUGAAUUUUAAGCUGUUAAAGAUUCUGCUGAUCUUUAAUAGAUCAGCAGAAUCUGAUCAGAUCAGAUCUGAUGAUCUGAUCUAAAGGAGCUGUAGACGUUACCAGGAUGGACAGAAACAAAUCUUUACCAGAAAUAUGUCAGACAUAUUGAUCGCUUACAAAUAAACAGUUAGCAUAAUAAAAUAAAAAGGUCUCGUUUCAGAUCAGUGGCUGCUGUUGUAAACAAUAUAGCUUUAUUUUGUUUCCCUUUUAUAUCAAUAUUUCCCACUCAGUGUUUGUCAUGAACAUCUGGCUAACUUUCAGAGAAAAGUAUAAAAUAAACGAGUAAAAGCCACUUGGUCACUUGAAACCCUUCAGAUAGAGGUUUGAUCCAUGAGGUUUAAAAUAUCUGCAUUGUUUUCCUGAAGGUAGAAUAAAUGUUUCUGGGCUAGAGGUCAGGGAAAUGCAUUAAAAUCAUCUAAACAACUCAGACUUGUCAUAACUCUGUGAUUCCUGGAUGUUUUUCUGCUCUGCAGGCAGAAACCAGUCUGCUGCAGAGCCCCUCCCCCACCUGUUGCUGGGAGGGGCAUUAACCUGGGACAAAUUCAUCAUCACAUUUAAUGAUCUGAUGUUUAAACUGUUUUCUCUAUUUGUUCAGUGACUGUAUGGAGAUCAAUAACUGAUUAAAUGUUAAUAACUGA